rnacentral:rRNA from 1 species
CCUACGGGUGGCAGCAGUGGGGAAUAUUGCACAAUGGGGGGAACCCUGAUGCAGCGACGCCGCGUGGGUGAAGGAGUAUUUCGGUAUGUAAAGCCCUAUCAGCAGGGAAGAACAAUGACGGUACCUGACUAAGAAGCACCGGCUAAAUACGUGCCAGCAGCCGCGGUAAUACGGAGGAUGCGAGCGUUAUCCGGAUUUAUUGGGUUUAAAGGGUGCGUAGGCGGAUUUUUAAGUCAGCGGUAAAAUGUCCGGGCUCAACCCGGGCCGGCCGUUGAAACUGGGGAUCUUGAGUGGGCGAGAAGUAUGGGGAAGGGGGGGGGUGGCGGUGAAAUGCAUAGAUAUCACGCAGAACUCCGAUGGCGAAGGCAGCAUACCGGCGCCCGACGGACGCUGAGGCACGAAAGCGUGGGGAUCGAACAGGAUUAGAUACCCUUGUAGU